GAUGAACGCUGGCGGCGUGCCUAAUACAUGCAAGUCGAGCGAACAGACGAGGAGCUUGCUCCUCUGACGUUAGCGGCGGACGGGUGAGUAACACGUGGAUAACCUACCUAUAAGACUGGGAUAACUUCGGGAAACCGGAGCUAAUACCGGAUAACAUGUUGAACCGCGUGGUUCAACAGUGAAAGACGGUCUUGCUGUCACUUAUAGAUGGAUCCGCGCCGCAUUAGCUAGUUGGUAAGGUAACGGCUUACCAAGGCAACGAUGCGUAGCCGACCUGAGAGGGUGAUCGGCCACACUGGAACUGAGACACGGUCCAGACUCCUACGGGAGGCAGCAGUAGGGAAUCUUCCGCAAUGGGCGAAAGCCUGACGGAGCAACGCCGCGUGAGUGAAGAAGGUCUUCGGAUCGUAAAACUCUGUUAUUAGGGAAGAACAAAUGUGUAAGUAACUAUGCACGUCCUGACGGUACCUAAUCAGAAAGCCACGGCUAACUACGUG
rnacentral:rRNA from 1 species